rnacentral:rRNA from 1 species
AGUGAACGCUGGCGGUAGGCCUAACACAUGCAAGUCGAGCGGCAGCACAGUAAAAGCUUGCUCUUACGGGUGGCGAGUGGCGGACGGGUGAGGAAUACAUCGGAAUCCACUUUUUCGUGGGGGUUAACGUAGGGAAACUUACGCUAAUACCGCAUACGACCUACGGGUGAAAGCAGGGGAUCUUCGGACCUUGCGCGAUCGAAUGAGCCGAUGCCUGAUUAGCUAGUUGGCGGGGUAAAGGCCCACCAAUGCGACGAUCCGUAGCUGGUAUGAGAGUAUGAGAAGCAACCCUGGAACCGAGAUACGGUCCAGGUGCCUACGGUAGGCAGUAGUGGGGAAUAUUGAACCAUCGGCGCAACCUUGAUCCAGCAAAACGGCGUGGGUGAAGAAGGCUGUCGCGGUGGAAAGCCUGUUUGUUAGGAAAGAAAAGCAGCAGGUUAAUACGCCGCUGUUCUGACGGGACUCAAAGAAUAAGCACCGGCUAAAAUCGUG